UACGGGGGGAGCAAGCGUUGUUCGGAUUUACUGGGCGUAAAGGGCGCGUAGGCGGUCAGCACAAGUCAGUUGUGAAAUCUCCGGGCUUAACUCGGAAAGGUCAACUGAUACUGUGCGACUAGAGUGCGGAAGGGGCAACUGGAAUUCUCGGUGUAGCGGUGAAAUUCGUAGAUAUUCGCAAGAACACCAGUGGCGAAGGCGGCUCACUGGCCCGGUACUGACGCUGAGGUGCGAAAGCGUGGGGAGCAAACAG
rnacentral:rRNA from 1 species